UUUCGCGCAGUUAAAUACAGUUGGAUCUGUAAGAUGAAGCCAAAUGACAACCCAGGCCCGAGAAGAACGUUGCUUAAGGCUGACAAGCAAUUGCCAAAGCCAACCUCUGGGAGCUCUCCAAGAAAGGAUCAAAACCUUGCUGUGAGACUGCAUCCACUGCUGCCAGAAUCUGCAGGUGAAUCAAUUUUUUUGUUGUUGACAGAUCUAAAAUAGUCUGUGUUGAUGCCAGCUAUUAACCUCUUCUUAGGUCAGAUAAGCUAGCAUAAGUCUCCUUGUUCUUGUACUGUUCUUCAGUCUCGAAGAGAAGAUCCCAAAAAGGUAACUGAUUAAUGUUUCCAGCACAGACAGAGAUAGGAGAUCUUUACAUCCCACUUGUGUCAAAAGUAUUUACUCAUAAAUUAGAAACUCAGAGUGAGAAACUAGAAACUACUUAGUAUACUACUAGUAUAUUACAAGUACAGGUACAAGUACUGCCCUGGCAACAUAUAUGUGCACCAGUAUGUACGUUUUAAUGUUAAUAUAGGCUGUUGAAUGUGUUAUUCAAUCUUCAUUAGCCUAAAUGUCAUAUUUCCUAGCUUAAUUCCUCUUAUUGUCAAGCAACAUGAUUCUAUGGCAGAAUUUUCUCUCUUUAGCACCAGGUUGAGACAAAUCUCUUCAUGCUAUUGUGCCCUUUAGGAAUACUGUCAAAUUCAAUCAUUCAGGACUCAUGAGUCUUGCACUAACAUGAAGAGAUUGAUUUGAAAACCAUGGGACUACAUUUUUUUCUUUCUGUUUUUCAUUUUCCAUUUCCAUACCUUAACCAUUUUACAUGAAAGCUGAGAUUGCCGGCUUUGCUCUCACAUGCAAAUGAGUAUUUUGUGAUGCUAGGGAGCCCUAGAAUAAUGCACUUGGAUGUGGCAAUGACUGUCUAUGCGAGUAUUUUCUGAUCAGUUAGAACUAUCUAAAAUGUCAAGAAAUAUUGUGGUGUCAGAAAAUAUACUAGAAUAUAGCAGCUUCUACAGUCUAUUUAGAGAGAGUUAAAAAUAGACAUAAAAAUUACCCCGGGCAAAGAUGCAGAGGAAUUCUUGACCUUUCAUAAACUAGGUCCCAUUCGAAUAAAGUAUGUUUUAAUAAGGUCGGUAAAAGACAUAUACCUAAGAAUAAAUAAUCACAGGUUAUCCUAUACAAUGGAAAAGUUUGAAGAGGGUCAGUAAGUCAACUGGCAAGUAACUGAACACAAGUUCCCAGUGUGAUGUAGCAAAAAGGAUCCAUGCAAACCUGACAGAGUGCAGAUGUUAAUGGUGGCAUUUUUUACAUGUAUAUACAAAUUGUGAAGGUUAUUCAAGCAUAAUGUACAUGGCUCUGCAAGAUGGAUACCAGAAAAAUGAAAUGAGUACAAGAAAGACCUGUCAGAGAAAAUACUAUGUAAUUGAAGAACUAAAAAUCCUAACUACCAAAAAGAUUGAAAGUUGAGUUUACAAUAGUGUAUACAUACACGCACAGAAAGAAAUAUUGAAUGUUAGGGCCCUUUAAAUCUACUAAGAAGUGGUGUAGGGGGGAGUAAUGCCUGGUAGCUGGAAUCAAGCAAGUUCAAAUAGCGUGGUACUCAGUUCAGUACCGCUAGCAAUAAUUAGUUCUUGAAAAGAAACAGGUAAGGGCUGUGGCGGAUUUCUUGGCAUUUGAUGUCUUUAUCUUUUCUAUAUUUAAUAAAUAAAUGUCUGUAUUUACAAGCUCUCCACUAACUCAAUAAAUAAUUCUUUC
rnacentral:lncRNA from 7 species